AUGACUUUUGUGCUUGCACAGAAUGAUUAGUGGCGAACGGGUGAGUAACACGUGAGUAACCUGCCCCUGACUCUGGGAUAAGCCUGGGAAACUGGGUCUAAUACUGGAUAUGCACCGUAGACCGCAUGGUUUUUGGUGGAAAGAAUUUUGGUCAGGGAUGGACUCGCGGCCUAUCAGCUUGUUGGUGAGGUAAUGGCUCACCAAGGCGACGACGGGUAGCCGGCCUGAGAGGGUGACCGGCCACACUGGGACUGAGACACGGCCCAGACUCCUACGGGAGGCAGCAGUGGGGAAUAUUGCACAAUGGGCGAAAGCCUGAUGCAGCGACGCCGCGUGAGGGAUGACGGCCUUCGGGUUGUAAACCUCUUUCAGUAGGGAAGAAGCGAAAGUGACGGUACCUGCAGAAGAAGCGCCGGCUAACUACGUGCCAGCAGCCGCGGUAAUACGUAGGGCGCAAGCGUUAUCCGGAAUUAUUGGGCGUAAAGAGCUCGUAGGCGGUUUGUCGCGUCUGCCGUGAAAGUCCGAGGCUCAACUUCGGAUCUGCGGUGGGUACGGGCAGACUAGAGUGAUGUAGGGGAGACUGGAAUUCCUGGUGUAGCGGUGAAAUGCGCAGAUAUCAGGAGGAACACCGAUGGCGAAGGCAGGUCUCUGGGCAUCUACUGACGCUGAGGAGCGAAAGCAUGGGGAGCGAACAGGAUUAGAUACCCUGGUAGUCCAUGCCGUAAACGUUGGGCACUAGGUGUGGGGGACAUUCCACGUUUUCCGCGCCGUAGCUAACGCAUUAAGUGCCCCGCCUGGGGAGUACGGCCGCAAGGCUAAAACUCAA
rnacentral:rRNA from 1 species